rnacentral:rRNA from 1 species
UACGGGGGGUGCAAGCGUUGUUCGGAAUUAUUGGGCGUAAAGCGCGUGUAGGCGGCUGAGCAAGUCAGAUGUGAAAGCCCCGGGCUUAACCCGGGAAGGGCAUUUGAUACUGUAAGACUUGAGAAAUGUAGAGGGAAGCGGAACUACCGGUGUAGCGGUGAAAUGCGUAGAUAUCGGUAGGAACACCAGUGGCGAAGGCGGCUUCCUGGCCUGAUACUGACGCUGAGGCGCGAAAGCGUGGGGAGCAAACAGG